UACGAAGGGUGCAAGCGUUACUCGGAAUCACUGGGCGUAAAGCGUGCGUAGGCGGUUGGUUAAGUCUGCUGUGAAAGCCCUGGGCUCAACCUGGGAACUGCAGUGGAUACUGGCCAGCUAGAGUGUGAUAGAGGAUGGUGGAAUUCCCGGUGUAGCGGUGAAAUGCGUAGAGAUCGGGAGGAACACCAGUGGCGAAAGCGGCUUCCUGGUCCAGCACCGACGUUCAGGCACGAAAGCGUGGGGAGCAAACAGG
rnacentral:rRNA from 1 species